AUGCUUGUUUCAGUAGGACAUAAAUGAAAAUUAUAACAAUACAGAGAUUAACACGGCCCAUUAGCAAGGAUGGCAUGCAAAUUUGUGAAGCAGUCCAUAAUUUU
ensembl:snRNA U6 U6 spliceosomal RNA